CCCGGCGGUGACUUGCCAGACAACCUUUUUACUUUUUUUCAAAGGUUUUGACCUCGGAUCAGGGUAGGGAUACCCGCUGAACUUAAGCAUAUCAAUAAGCGGAGGAAAAGAAACCAACAGGGAUUGCCUCAGUAACGGCGAGUGAAGCGGCAACAGCUCAAAUUUGAAAUCUGGCUCCUUCGGAGUCCGAGUUGUAAUUUGUAGAAGAUGCUUCGAGUGUGGCCCCGGUCUAAGUUCCUUGGAACAGGACGUCACAGAGGGUGAGAAUCCCGUACGUGAUCGGGCGCCUACGCUCAUGUGAAGCUCUUUCGACGAGUCGAGUUGUUUGGGAAUGCAGCUCUAAAUGGGUGGUAAAUUUCAUCUAAAGCUAAAUAUUGGCCAGAGACCGAUAGCGCACAAGUAGAGUGAUCGAAAGAUGAAAAGCACUUUGGAAAGAGAGUUAAACAGUACGUGAAAUUGUUGAAAGGGAAGCGCUUGCAACCAGACUUGCGUGUCGUUGAUCAUCUGGUGUUCUCACCGGUGCGCUCAGCGAUGCUCAGGCCAGCAUCAGUUCUGGCGGCUGGAUAAAGGCCCUGGGAAUGUGGCUCCCUCCGGGGAGUGUUAUAGCCCAGGGUGCAAUGCAGCCUGCCGGGACUGAGGACC
rnacentral:rRNA from 1 species